GUCCUUCGGGGUACACGAGUGGCGAACGGGUGAGUAACACGUGGGUGAUCUGCCCUGCACUUUGGGAUAAGCCUGGGAAACUGGGUCUAAUACCGGAUAGGACCACGCAGCUUCACGGUGUGUGGUGGAAAGCUUUUGCGGUGUGGGAUGGGCCCGCGGCCUAUCAGCUUGUUGGUGGGGUAAUGGCCUACCAAGGCGACGACGGGUAGCCGGCCUGAGAGGGUGUCCGGCCACACUGGGACUGAGAUACGGCCCAGACUCCUACGGGAGGCAGCAGUGGGGAUAUAUUGCACAAUGGGCGCAAGCCUGAUGCAGCGACGCCGCGUGGGGGAUGACGGCCUUCGGGUUGUAAACCUCUUUCAGUAGGGACGAAGCGCAAGUGACGGUACCUACAGAAGAAGCACCGGCCAACUACGUGCCAGCAGCCGCGGUAAUACGUAGGGUGCGAGCGUUGUCCUGUAUUACUGGGCGUAGAGAACUCGUA
rnacentral:rRNA from 1 species